CUUCCAUAUCAUACAGCAAUAUAAUCAUUCUGACCGUGUAAGUCUUGUACGACAAUGAUGUUCGGAGACCUCUUUUUUUAAUUAAAGAAGUUCAUGGAGUUAUGGACGUCUAUUAGUCUGUAUAAGAUAAACUAAAGAAAAAAGGUAAAAAGAAGGUAAAGAUAAUUAGAGAUAUCUCAAAAGUUACUUCAAAAACCCGGAUGACUGUGAUUAAAUGGUUGGCAAGUCUUUUGGGGAUUCCCUGACGUCGACGUAUAAAUGCGUGUCGACAAGAAUAUAUUCACAAAGCAGUUGUGGAAAGAGCUCUCAGUGCGACAGAUACAAGUUUGAUGUGAAAUUUGUGUAUACUUAGCGAUUUAUUUUUCGUUAAACUAUUACACUCUCCAGUUGUGACAUUCGAAUUUCUUAAUCCAGAAUGGAGUUACAACCAAAAGGAACAAGUUACGAAAUAGACAACUCGCCAUACAAUAAUUCAGAUGAAUACUUUAUGGGAAUAGCAAUUCUUCUUGAGAAACUAUCCGAAAAAGGUUGCUAUCCUGUGGGUGCGUGUAUAGUUAAUAGUGAUCAAAGAAUUGUCGGUACUGGAUAUAACACAGUACAAAAAGGAUGGGAUAAAGAAAAAGACAUCAGACCACUUUUUUUGUACCAUGCAGAAGUGGCAGCUAUUUUAAAUAAAACUUCAACGGAUUUCAAAAACUGUACAAUGUAUGUUACACGGUUCCCUUGUAAUAACUGUGCGAAUAGAAUAAUAUCAUCCGGCUUAAAAAAAAUAAUAUAUUGUCAUAUGAAGCGUGACCACGAGUAUACUACACCAAGAAUACAAGCCGCAAAAGAA